rnacentral:rRNA from 1 species
AGAGUUUGAUCCUGGCUCAGAGCGAACGCUGGCGGCAGGCCUAACACAUGCAAGUCGAGCGCUCGUAGCAAUACGAGAGCGGCAGACGGGUGAGUAACACGUGGGAACGUGCCCUUUGGUUCGGAAUAACUCAGGGAAACUUGAGCUAAUACCGGAUACGCCCUUACGGGGAAAGAUUUAUCGCCAAAGGAUCGGCCCGCGUCUGAUUAGCUUGUUGGUGGGGUAAUGGCCCACCAAGGCUACGAUCAGUAGCUGGUCUGAGAGGAUGAUCAGCCACAUUGGGACUGAGACACGGCCCAAACUCCUACGGGAGGCAGCAGUGGGGAAUAUUGGACAAUGGGCGCAAGCCUGAUCCAGCCAUGCCGCGUGAGUGAUGAAGGCCUUAGGGUUGUAAAGCUCUUUCGCUGGGGAAGA